rnacentral:rRNA from 1 species
CGCCUACAUGAAGCUGGAGUUGCUAGUAAUCGCGAAUCAGAAUGUCGCGGUGAAUACGUUCCCGGGCCUUGUACACACCGCCCGUCACACCAUGAGAGUUGGCAAUACCCAAAGUUCGUGAGCUAACCGCAAGGAGGCAGCGACCUAAGGUAGGGUCAGCGAUUGGGGUGAAGUCGUAACAAGGUAGCCGUAGGAGAACCUGCGGCUGGAUCACCUCCUUUCUA